CCUACGGGGGGCAGCAGUGGGGAAUAUUGGACAAUGGGGGGAACCCUGAUCCAGCCAUGCCGCGUGUGUGAAGAAGGCCCUCGGGUUGUAAAGCACUUUCAGUGAGGAAGAACGCCUGGUGGUUAAUACCCAUCAGGAAAGACAUCACUCACAGAAGAAGCACCGGCUAACUCCGUGCCAGCAGCCGCGGUAAUACGGAGGGUGCGAGCGUUAAUCGGAAUUACUGGGCGUAAAGCGCGCGUAGGUGGCUUGAUAAGCCGGUUGUGAAAGCCCCGGGCUCAACCUGGGAACGGCAUCCGGAACUGUCAAGCUAGAGUGCAGGAGAGGAAGGUAGAAUUCCCGGUGUAGCGGUGAAAUGCGUAGAGAUCGGGAGGAAUACCAGUGGCGAAGGCGGCCUUCUGGACUGACACUGACACUGAGGUGCGAAAGCGUGAGUAGCAAACAGGAUUAGAUACCCCUGUAGUC
rnacentral:rRNA from 1 species